CGAUUUUACUUCCGAGUUGACUUUCCCUUCCGAUUUGGACCAAUUUCUGGGUAUUAAAUUGUUACGACUCGCAGACAAAGGGCGCUGAGAAUCUGUGUUGUCAACAAUGGGAACACGAACACCCACACGCAUUGUAAACGGGUGACAAAUCGCAUCUUUCGGCAAGAUCAAGCGAUCACAACAAAGUGCCAACAGGGCCAAUAGGGGAAAACUGUAUUCCCAACAAAUAAUUGCUUAUCGUUUGUUUGGCGGACGAAGGCUGCUGCGGCUGAUAAUGUCAUUAUCCUGGACGCAAAAGGAAAAAGGAGUCGGAGUCCUGCUCACCGCAUGACGUCACCAGGGAAGCUGAAAUAUACAUGUUCUUCCUUAAGGACUAUAAUUUUGCCCAUAAGUGUAUAUGCGCCUCAUUCACCUUCGGUAGGACAGGCCGACAAAUUGACGCAAAACAUUUAACGCGGGGGAUCUCGGGAUUGGGUCGGCGGACAUGGUCGAACGGCAGACGGGAGCGAGGAGUGAGGGGUGAGGAAAGGACCACAGGACGACGGUGCCGGCUCUUUCUAUGGGCCACAAAAAAUUCCUUUGAAUUGCGUCCGUUGCAGCAGAAACACACAAACACGGCGAUAUGUGUUUUCCGUAUUUUUUGUUGCCUGCGGCCUGUGGCUAUGCGCAAAAAAGGACAUCUCCUCCGGCGGUUGCUCCGGUGGCAGGAUGACUGGCGGUCCACAGGAUCGGUGGUUCGGACGUUCAGAGGUUCGGAGGUUUUUGUGGGCCCUCUAUUAUGCAUUGCGUACGGCCUCACCCGGCGUGUUGACAUUUUUAUUCCAAACAGUUGAGCAAUAUUUAUAAACUGCCCGGGAAAAAAGGAGCAAGGAGGAUGUGGAUGAGGAGGUCAUGGUGCAUGAUGCAUGCCCAAUGGCUUUAUUUCCGGGUGACCAUGUAAAAUGUCCUCGUGGUUUGCUGCUUAUUAAAUGAGCUAUUUGAUUAACAUUGUUCUGUGCUUGCUGUUUCGCUAAUGAAAGAACAAACGCGAAUAUUUGGCCUGUAGGCACAGAGGUCACAAGGCAAAAACCAUGGACAGCCAUUUUAAACAUUUAUCAGAAAAUAUAUGUUCCAUAUUUUAUGCAUGUUAGGAACCUCUUCCACUGAGAAAGUUCAGUCUUGUUAAGUAGAAACCGAACUGUAUACACAACUAAAUUUUAAACAUUUUAUUGCAAGAUACCAUUAAAAUUUUGGAAGAAAUAUUUUUGAAUAAUCAUAUGUUGUGUUAUGCUUGUAUUCCGAUAUUUAAUGACACCCUAAGGUUAUUAAAUGAGCAAUUUUAAACGAUGUUUUACAUUUUAAAGAUAUUCCUAUUUUUAAUUAUAGUCUGGCAAAGACAGCCUUUACCGAAAUUAAUUUAAUAUAUAUAUUUUAAGAUGUUCCUAUUCAUAGUUAAAGUCUGGCUAGGACAGCCUUAAACAUUCAUUAACUUCCCACUAAUAGUAGUGUUCAUAAACUAACAUUUCUCAAUUAACCGUGAAUGUACAAUUUUGCUUGCCACUCAAUUACUUUGUUUUUCUUUGGCAGCUUAUUAAAUGUCAUAUUUUGCAUGCCCAGGAGCAAGACAAAGUCUGUGAGAUUGCGGCUCUGGAAUUGUUGAUGUUUGCACUGGCGAAACACCUUGGAGACUGGGAACGAGAUGAUCUAAUUGAAUGACAAUAUUAUGCCAAGGCCUAAUUCAAUUUGCAAUUCGCAUCGCUUGGAAAGCGCUGCAGGUGGAGGAACAUGGCUGGAACAUGGGUUGAAUCUUAAACAAACACGGCAAUUACAGCAAACGGAUGCACUUGUCUGGCCAAAUGACUUGGGCCUGCUCUGUAAUUAGCCCGGGGACGAAAGGAUGCGGGAUGGGCUUCUGUUGGCCCUUUGUCGGCCUCCUCGGGGGUCCCGCCUAAUUAUCACAUUUUUACUCAUUAAAUUCACAUUUGCUUGUUUUUCUCCCCCGUUUCUUUUUUGGUUUUUUUUGGCAGGGCCGAACCCGCUGCCUAAUUACAGGGUAAUCAGGCUUUCAGCCGCCGUGGCUACCGAAUGAUGAUUGAUUCAAGGAUGGAGGAGUAUGCUAAAAAGCCAGAAAAUUCCCUACUUACCAACUCAUUUUCAUUUCAGGUGACAUCUGCCCAAGCGCGUGCCAAACAAAGGGAAAAAAACACAGAGAGGAAAGUGCAAACAGCAGCUGAAAUGGAUAUGGAAAGCAGGAACGUAGUCGAGGAAAAAGCAAAUCGAAAACUGAUUUGGAGCGGAAGUUCGUUUGCACCUUUCUGCAGUUUCCUGUAUUUGCCGCCGCCGCCGCCAGAACAAUAAACACACACAAGCUGCGGCAUCCACAAUUCCACAAUCUACAGCCACUUCCAUAUCCACAAUCGCAAUCAGAAUCGCCGAGUGUUCCAUAUAGUACGAGUACCUUAACUUGUCUUGCCCUUUGACGCCGCCUUUUGUACUAAGAGAGUUGAGAUGGGAAAUGGGAUCUGAAUGGAAUGGAGAUUGAGACGAAGUCACCGCCCGUUGGCUUUUGAAUGAGCUGCAAAUCUAAAGCUAUGCGCGAUUUCGCAAAAGUACAGAUUAAGGAUAUGCGUGUGCAGGCAGAAAAAUAAUGAAGUACUUCACAAUUGGUAUCGGUAUUGAAGGAGCACACAUUUUUGAACUACAUUAUGUCUUUUAAUAUAUAUAAGUGUCUUAUUAGGGUGAUAGUUAUAUGUAGACAUUUAAAAAAUAUCAGAAAUGUUUAUGUAAGCGAUGUUGUUUUAUACGAUUCCAUUAAUAGUGCAAAAUGUAUAAUGAUUUCUUUAUCUAAAUUUUCUUUCCAUGUAUGCAAAAGCAAGGAGCACGGAUUCCUGGCAGCUGCUCCUUCGAAACGCUGUAUUUGAUUUGCGAUUCGAGGCAGGCGGAAAUGGAAUGACACGCGAGGCACUCUUACUUUGUUUGAGGAUUGGCAAAAAUGGUGCCUCCAUUGCCCGACAAAAAACAGAAGGAACCAAGGACCAAGGACCCGUGAGCCGUAAGAGACUUCCACUUGAGCCGCACGCAUUGUUUGCAUUUGCGAGUCGGAGGGGCGUGCUGGAAAUCGGAUAUAGGAUCGCUCGCUCGAGACAAUCAAAUAGCGCAGCGGAGUUUUCCAAUCCACUGAGCAGCCGCAAUCGGCGAGGGAAUCAGCUGCCUAUAGACCAUGAGAAGACUACUCUAUGAGGAGAUGAGGUGCCAACCCGAGCCACGCGUGUUCUAUGUCCAGUGGUCAAAAUUGGACACUGGCCGUCUCAUUAGCGCACCAAAGGUUGCAAGGUUAAUGAUGCGCACCCCGUGCUUGGGCUUCCGUCUGCCCAUCUCCACCUCCUCGGGCAAUUAUGCGACGCACUUGAGCUUGAAGGGCCACGGAGCAAAGGAGUACACAAUACAUUUUGGUCGCGCGGAUUAUACGACAUAUAAACCAAAUAAAUGGGACCCAACACCUGCAGGUGGAAAAACAUGCAAAAAUGAUCAUUGCGAGAUAUGUGAACGGGACAUGACGCCGCAGGAUGCCAAACAGAGGACGCUCCUCCAGUUGCAGUCCAAUCUCCACCACUUGCGCCUGGGUUAUCGGUGAAUAUUCCGUGACGAUGGCAAAAAUAUUGCAACGCAGCCAAAAGGGGGGAGAGAAGAAGGGGAGGACGAGUGCCAGGAAGGCCAGGAAAGGGGUCGGGGUCUGGGUCCUGGUCCAUUUCGUGUGCACGUCGUUAUCCUUGCCCCGGAUGCACAACAAUCAAAAUAAACGGCUGCCAAAUUGACCAUUGACCAAACAUCGUCAGCAGCAAAAAACGAGUAGGUGGAGGAGGAGGAGCAGAACCACUGCAGCAGGAUGUGGAGGCGAAAAACACCUCCAGGAUGUGGGUGAGUGAGUAAACCCCAUUGGACAGCGACAUCAUCUUUGCCCCCGUCACGUCGACUUCGAGCACAAUUCACGAGUCAAGCAGCCAUCACGGAAUAAACAUGAAAUUCUUUUUUGUUCAGCAAAGUGCAGGAAAAACGAUUAAAGAGAAUUCUUUAGAACUCUGCAACUUUUUUGCCGAAUACAAAACGAUUAAAAGGAUUUUUUCUGAAUGCAGGCACUCCAAUGUUUAUUCAAUAAACCCGAUCUGAGAUGCGGCACCAGGAGGAGAGGCUGCAGAGCAGAUCAGAACAGCAGCUGGCUGGCAUUCCUCCGAGAAGCAACCGUUCUGCAGUUGGCCUGGCCCAUUCAAGACAAGCCGCUGGAAUUUCUUGGUGCGUGCUCGGCACAGGCACAGUCACUGGCACAGGUUCAGAUAUGAGAUUCAGCUGGUCCAGCGUCUGCCAGCUGCGUCUCCUGAUUAUGAUAAUGGCAGUUGGACGGACUGGACCGGAUCGGGUUGGACCGGGACAGGAAUCGGUACUGGGAAUGGGAGACUGGGACCACAUCGCACCACCAGGCAGUGGAAGCCCAGCUCAGCUCAUCCCGUCUUCGCUGGCCAGUUGUGCGCAAUUGCUUUCGUUUAUGAUCGAAUGAUCGAAUGCCUGGCAGCUCCGUUGACUUUCUGAUUAAUGCAAGAAUGCUCCUUGGCGGCGUUCCUGCUUUUUGCCCGAUCCCACCACCACCGACUGCAAUUAAAAGUGGAUGCUCCUCAAUGGAAGGGUCACUGAAAAUUGGCGAAGGCAAUACACGACAUUACAGCCAAAGACAAGGUCGGAGCAUCAACAUACUUAUCCCUAUAAAUGUACUACCACAAUUAGAUCUUUUUUGUUUAACGAAACUUGAGGUUGCCCUAGGACAAAAAUAAAUAUGAGCUUAUUGUAUUGCACAUGAGAGCAUUCCCAGUUCGUCUACGACCAUGGUGCCGCAGAUUGAUUCUUGACCGGCUGCCGCCGCCUGCUGUGCCUGAUGCCCCAUGCCAGCGAAAGAAAUCCCGAACCCGAACUCGAACCCAAACCACGACCAGAUGCAGACCGAUCCGAGUAAGAAGACAAACGACAGUCGCCAGCUAGCCUCGUGCCUCCAGUUGUCAUAACGUUCAACACAUCGCGCCCCUCGGUGGCGUCUUUCGUCUUGGCCACAUCCACAUCCACAACCACAUCCUCGCCCGACUCCGAUUUCUGUGCGCUGCCAUAAAAGGAUUUGUCACGUGCGAGCUUUUGUUGAAAAUGCAACAAUCAUCAGCCUGCAUUAUGCAUGGCGCAUUGCCAGGUCGGACAUCGUAUCUCGGCAUUCCUGGCGAUCCCUCUCCAGCACUCCUGCUCCAUCACAUGCUCUCCUCCGGCAGCAGAUCAUUGAAAUUUAUAAUUAAGUGGAAAUAUGUUGUCUACGAUGGCAACAAGGAUCUCAGAUUGCUGGCGGAGAUAUGAAUUCCUUUCGGAAGAUACAGAAACAGAGCCCUCAUUGGAAUAACAAAUGCAUUAGCAGGCCAAACAAGGACCUAAUAAUGUCCUCGUCGGGGGAAUGUGAAUGGAAAUCCAUUUAACAAAGAAUGGAAUGGGCUGGGUCUCAUCCACAAUUACCGUUAGGCACACACACCACACACAGGGACAAACAAGGACAUGCCAGCCUGGCUAAUUCAUGACUUUAAGGACACUUUGGCAAACAAUCGAAUGGGCCAAGGCGAAGGCGAUGGAAUAUUCACUUUGCAAUUGAUUAUGCAUGAGUGUUUUGUCGUGUGCGGUUUGUGUGCGUGCCAAUCAACUGGGUAGAAUCAAUCAAAAUGCAAUAGGAUUGCCCUGCCAAUCAAAGGCAAAGCCGAGAAAAGAGCUACCACCCCCACAGAAGUCACUUGUCCCGCUGGAGUAGCUGCCUCGGAGUUUAAAUCCAAGGCAGCCGGAUCCUGGCCAGUAUUUUCGGACCACAUCAGGACAAAUAGCCAGACCCCAGGUAACCAGGACAAACACUCAAACGUCCAGCGAAGCGUUGCGAAAGGGCCAAAGGAGAUAUAGGAGUACUUGGAGAAAAACCCUAUCAAAGUUUGUAAGUAACUCUUAGUUCUUUGGUAUUUAAUUAGGUAUGUUCUAUAAAUGAUAUGCAAAUGUUUUUUCAAAAUUUAAUUAUUAAUUAUGUCCGAUUGAUAUGAAAUUUGAUAUGUGGGUGGGAACCUUUAAAAUAUGUAAUUUUCCUUGCGGUCAGAGAAAUCUAUCUAUGAAACUGUGGCUUUUACAAACUGUGUUUUCUUCUAUAAAGUAACACCAUUUCUUUCACUGUGUA